rnacentral:rRNA from 1 species
CCUACGGGGGGCUGCAGUGGGGAAUAUUGGACAAUGGGGGGAACCCUGAUCCAGCCAUGCCGCGUGUGUGAAGAAGGCCCUCGGGUUGUAAAGCACUUUCAGUGAGGAAGAACGCCUGGUGGUUAAUACCCAUCAGGAAAGACAUCACUCACAGCAGAAGCACCGGCUAACUCCGUGCCAGCAGCCGCGGUAAUACGGAGGGUGCGAGCGUUAAUCGGAAUUACUGGGCGUAAAGCGCGCGUAGGUGGCUUGAUAAGCCGGUUGUGAAAGCCCCGGGCUCAACCUGGGAACGGCAUCCGGAACUGUCAAGCUAGAGUGCAGGAGAGGAAGGUGGAAUUCCCGGUGUAGCGGUGAAAUGCGUAGAGAUCGGGAGGAAUACCAGUGGCGAAGGCGGCCUUCUGGACUGACACUGACACUGAGGUGCGAAAGCGUGGGUAGCAAACAGGAUUAGAUACCCUAGUAGUC